GACGAACGCUGGCGGCAUGCCUAAUACAUGCAAGUCGAGCGAACAGAUGAAGUGCUUGCACUUUUGACGUUAGCGGCGAACGGGUGAGUAACACGUAGGGAAUCUACCUAUAAGCGGGGGAUAACAUUCGGAAACGGGUGCUAAUACCGCAUAACAUCUUCUUCCGCAUGGAAGAAGAUUGAAAGACGGCUCUGCUGUCACUUAUAGAUGACCUUGCGGUGCAUUAGUUAGUUGGUGGGGUAACGGCCUACCAAGACGAUGAUGCAUAGCCGACCUGAGAGGGUGAUCGGCCACAUUGGGACUGAGACACGGCCCAAACUCCUACGGGAGGCAGCAGUAGGGAAUCUUCCGCAAUGGGCGAAAGCCUGACGGAGCAAUGCCGCGUGAGUGAAGAAGGCCUUCGGGUCGUAAAACUCUGUUAUAAGAGAAGAACAAAUUGUAGAGUAACUGCUACAGUCUUGACGGUAUCUUAUCAGAAAGCCACGGCUAACUACGUGCCAGCCGCCGCAGUAA
rnacentral:rRNA from 1 species